GAUGAAGAACGUAGUGAAAUGCGAUAAGUAAUGUGAAUUGCAGAAUUCAGUGAAUCAUCGAAUCUUUGAACGCACAUUGCGCCCCCUGGUAUUCCGGGGGGCAUGCCUGUCCGAGCGUCAUUGCUGCCCUCAAGCACGGCUUGUGUGUUGGGCCUCCGUCCUCCUCCCGGGGGACGGGCCCGAAAGGCAGCGGCGGCACCGCGUCCGGUCCUGGAGCGUAUGGGGCUUCGUCACCCGCUCUUGUAGGCCCGGCCGGCGCUUGCCGACACAUCAAUCUUUUUUCCAGGUUGACCUCGGAUCAGGUAGGGAUACCCGCUGAACUUAAGCAUAUCAAUAAGCGGAGGA
rnacentral:misc_RNA from 1 species